CACAACUCCCUCCUCAACAGACCUCUGCUUUCAUGAGAAGAGUUCACCCCAACCCAUCUCUAACUAGAAGCACAUUUUGGCUGCUGUCUUCCAACUUUCAAAUGUUUGUGAAAUUCCCAGUAAUACUGACUUUUAAAAAGCAAAAUAGCCAGCCUGGUCUACAGAGUGAGUUCCAGGACAGCCAAGGCUACACAGAGAAUCUAAAAGAAAAGAAAGAAAAGAAACAAAACACCUUUUGGAGUCACCAUGCAGCCUGCUCUCACUUGUCCUUUGUGGGAAGAGCCAACAGGCUUGGGCGCUUCAGUGUCUGACGUGUGACAUCCACUG
rnacentral:lncRNA from 1 species